rnacentral:lncRNA from 1 species
GGAGGAUGAUGACGACAACAAAAAAUAUAAUAACUGCCCUGUGCCUUUAUGUAAUAGAAACAAGAAACCUUGUUGCAUGAAGACUUCCAGGAAUUGUUACUGCAAAUGUGUGUGGUCCGGUUUAUUGUGUCAGUCCGUUUGGCCAAGAGUCUGCCGGCUGCCAAUGAUUGCAACAUGCAAGAGAAAAGACGCAUACGAUAUGUGCCAUUGCGGUGCUGCAAAGGUUCAAUUCCAGAGACAAAUCCCGAGGACUUCCAGCGUCUAUUCUCAAUGUUCAAAGGCGUUGUCCCGAGCCUACCUGGGAUUCCGCUAAAUAUUCUCGGCUAAGAAGGUUUAUUGAGUAAAUUUGCGUCCCUUCGUGGUUCCUUAUAUGCAGUGUUUUGCAGUGAUUCACAAAUAU